GAUGAACGCUGGCGGCGUGCCUAAUACAUGCAAGUCGAGCGAACAGACGAGGAGCUUGCUCCUCUGACGUUAGCGGCGGACGGGUGAGUAACACGUGGAUAACCUACCUAUAAGACUGGGAUAACUUCGGGAAACCGGAGCUAAUACCGGAUAAUAUAUUGAACCGCAUGGUUCAAUAGUGAAAGACGGUUUUGCUGUCACUUAUAGAUGGAUCCGCGCCGCAUUAGCUAGUUGGUAAGGUAACGGCUUACCAAGGCAACGAUGCGUAGCCGACCUGAGAGGGUGAUCGGCCACACUGGAACUGAGACACGGUCCAGACGCCUACGGGAGGCAGCAGUAGGGAAUCUUCCGCAAUGGGCGAAAGCCUGACGGAGCAACGCAGCGUGAGUGAUGAAGGUCUUCGGAUCGUAAAACUCUGUUAUUAGGGAAGAACAAAUGUGUAAGUAACUAUGCACGUCUUGACGGUACCUAAUCAGAAAGCCACGGCUAACUACGUG
rnacentral:rRNA from 1 species